rnacentral:lncRNA from 1 species
AAGGAGCUCUGCGGCCUGGACGUCGUCGAGAGGUACCUCGAGAGCGUGUCCGCUGCCGGCCCAACCACCGCAAAAGCAUACAUAGAUCCAGCAAGCGCCCUGCCCAUGACGAAUGAGGUUAAUCAGUCAGUGUAAAUGGCAUGGCAUGCCUAGCUUGUAAGGUGUGAUGCUCUGAAUCUCUGAUCAUGUACAGAAAAGAUAGCGACUGCGAGCUGUGGUCUUGUGAAUCAAGAGUAUAGAGGGAAACUAAACUGAAUAAGUGCCGGGCAGUGCGAAUUCGUGGGUGGAAUCAUGUGAUUUCGACUCUUCGUUCAGAGGUGCGUACCUGCCUUGUGCGUAGAUGGGGAUCGGACUGGACCAGCUAGGUUAGGCCUCGCCGUCGCCGCGGCACGGGAUGCCAUGCUUUCGGCCUCGCGCCCUCGGCGCCGGCAGCAACGGCGGCCAUUCCUCCCCCACGCGCCGUUGGUUGGUCCCGUGCCGGCUGGCGAUGGGGUGCGGCGGCCGCGAACAGGCGGCGCGGCGGGGGAGCGAGCUCACCUCUGCUUG